UACGUAGGGUGCGAGCGUUGUCCGGAAUUACUGGGCGUAAAGAGCUUGUAGGCGGUUUGUCGCGUCUGCUGUGAAAAUCCGGGGCUCAACCCCGGACUUGCAGUGGGUACGGGCAGACUAGAGUGUGGUAGGGGAGACUGGAAUUCCUGGUGUAGCGGUGAAAUGCGCAGAUAUCAGGAGGAACACCGAUGGCGAAGGAAGGUCUCUGGGCCACUACUGACGCUGAGAAGCGAAAGCAUGGGGAGCGAACAGGAUUAGAUACCCCGGUA
rnacentral:rRNA from 1 species